CACGGGUGAGUAACGCGUAUGCAACCUACCUAUCAGAGGGGAAGUAACCCGGCGAAAGUCGGACUAAUACCGCAUAAAACAGGGGCACCGCAUGGUGAUAUUUGUUAAAGAAAUUCGCUGAUAGAUGGGCAUGCGUUCCAUUAGGUAGUUGGUGAGGUAACGGCUCACCAAGCCGACGAUGGAUAGGGGAACUGAGAGGUUGGUCCCCACACUGGUACUGAGACACGGACCAGACUCCUACGGGAGGCAGCAGUGAGGAAUAUUGGUCAAUGGGCGAAAGCCUGAACCAGCCAUGUCGCGUGAAAGGAUGAAGGUCCUAUGGAUUGUAAACUUCUUUUGCAGGAGGGUAAAGUGAGCUACGUGUAGUUCAUUGCAAGUACCCCGCGAAUAAGCAUCGGCUAACUCCGUGCCAGCAGCCGC
rnacentral:rRNA from 1 species